rnacentral:rRNA from 1 species
CGGUAGUUUGUUCGUUCGUAACGAGAGAGAGCGGCGGUACGGGUGGCGGAACGACGUAGUGCAACCUAGCCUUUAUUCAGGGGAGUAGCUUUCGUAAGGAAGAUUAAUACCCACUAAUAUAAGAGACGGCAUCGUUUUUUAUUUGUAAACUACCGGUGGAGUAGAGAUAGGGCACGCGCAAGAUUAGAUAGUUGGUAGGGUAACGGACCUACCAAGUCAGUGAUCUUUAGGGGGCCGUGAGAGGGUGAUCCCCCACCACUGGUACUGAGACACGGACCAGACUCCUACGGGAGGCAGCAGUGAGGAAUAUUGGACAAUGGGUGAGAGCCUGAUCCAGCCAUCCCGCGUGAAGGACGACGGCCCUAUGGGUUGUAAACUUCUUUUGUAUAGGGAUAAACCUUUCCACGUGUGGAAAGCUGAAGGUACUAUACGAAUAAGCACCGGCUAACUCCGUG